rnacentral:sRNA from 1 species
GGCGUGUGGCAGCACUCGUUGGGAAAAAAGGACGUCGACUUGAGGACAACAUUGGAGGGCAGUGGAUUUGGCGUGAGGCAAGUGAGAAGCAUCGUCGUGUGGGUGGGCAUAGUGUGGCGUCUUCGUGUCUAAUCAGGUACAGGUGCAGGUGAGUCCAAAGGAUGUCGUCAGGAUGGGUAAAAUAUAUCACAGGUGAGUAUCACAGUUGGUUAGAUCAGUCGGUAGUCGGCUUUGUCGUGGGAAGAUAUUAUUUAUAUAUUCAAUUGCAUGAGAUGCAGGAAGAAGAAGACAUGUAAACAAAGAAGAUUUCUGGACAGGAUUUAGGAGCAUAUCACAGAUUGAACAGGUCCCAGGUGUUGAUGGCGAUGGAUGGCCUUUUCGCAUGUGUCCUUACAUGGUCUGCGCGUUCGAGAAGAAGUUCGUCGAGUGGUGUGUACGAAGUGCAGAGAGUUAUAUUUUCGAGUGGGAGCAGGUCGCGUCAUCUUUAUUUUCGCAUGGAGAGCAGUGGAUCAUGUGAGUAAGGAUUUACGUAUUUUCCGUGUCCAUCUGUGAGUCAGGAAGAAAGUCGUCAGGUACUUGUAGGAGAGAGCCCAGAGAUCGUGCCAGAGAUGUCCGUAUGCAUGGUGUAGGAGCGUGGGCUUUCCUAUUGGCAUCUUUUGCUGGGAGCGCGGUUCCUCCUUGUGUCGUGGAGGAGGCGGUUUGCAGCAUUCAUUAUGGAGAGGGUCCUCAGUGUCAGUGGCAGGGGAAGGCGUUUGACGGCUGGGUGUUGUUCCAUGGUCCUGAGUUUAUUUGCCCUUUCUCCUUACGGGUUCAGCACGUUCGUAGAGGGGUUCGUCGGGCUAGUAACGUGUUCAUGUAGAGUCAACAGGUUUUUUUCCGAUAUAAGUGAGCGUCAUCAAGGAAAGAAUUUUUUUGUCUGAGUGUCUGGAUGAGUAGAAAUGUAGCGUGGGUUGCAGCGCAGUCAGGGGAUGUCCAAUUUAUUCGCCCCUAGGAUGGACUAAAUUUGGAUCAGGUCGCCGGCCAUUAGCAUGUCCAUUAGGGAUACGCUACUGCCAAGAGAAGAGGCACCCUUUUCCUUGUCAACCGA